GGUCUGAUAAAAGUACAGCCACAUUGGAAUUCCUGGAUGCAAGUUACUGACCAUUGAUCAAUCAAGUUGGUGUGGUUCAGUUGAUGGGCAAAUUCAAGUGGCCCCUCAUUUGAUUCUCUUCUUGUCAUUUUUGAUCGAGUCUCAAUACCUUUCAUGUGGCCGGGAAGCAGGAGGCAGUGACACCGGGUGCGUCGCUUGGGAUUGAAGGGUGCAUCUGUUAAUCAUCCGGAAGUCAGAAAAUGGUGAACAUGGAAUGUAACAUAUGAUGAUUGGUCUCUAGUUUUGGGGGGAGUGUCAUGAAGUACUGGAGAAAAUUCUGUUGUAAUUACAUGGUAGUGAGGGCUUAUGCUUUGUUUGGGUUCUUGUUUCCUCUUUCCUUUUUUCCCCCCAAAGUGACUUUCCGGUUUUAGUUCUUGCCCUGUGAUGGCUUUAGCUUUACUGUGUUCUGUAAAUUACAUUUACGGUUUCAUAGCGACUUUUUGAUAAUGUGUUGUGGUUGUUCCUUUCACCAAAGAAAACACUGCAAGCAGGCGCAAUCAAAGCUACAUGUGCAGCAUUUUGGAUUAUAACUUUUGACUUCUUUUCAUGGAAUAAGUAAAACGUGUGAACGCUCUUUGAUGUUCAUACACGGUUGUAGAUCAUUUUCAACGACGGGGAAAGACGGAACACACAGGUCAACAACUUCUUCAUCGCGAAAGGUAAUGAUUGUGGCUCUGAGAAUUGGUCAGAAUGAAUCCAGAAACAAAGUGGUGGUCAACUUUGGACUUUUGCAGUGAGGAUGUUUCCUUGGACUUUAGCCUGGGACGAUAAUGUGGGAAGCUUCUUUUAUGAAACGGUCUCUCUUGAAUUCGAAUGCCCACGUUGAAAAUGAGUAUGGCUCAUCAAAGAUUGCGGUUUUGACUUUAUGAAACCCCUGAACCAUUCCCAUCUGAUUGCUUAACGAUCCUCCUUUCUCUCUGUCUAAUUUCAGCAGCACGAUUGCCGUGUAAAGGACGAGAUAGCGAUUCCACCUGACCCGCUACUGCAUGUUCACCCUAGCGGCGAUCUGGGCGAUUGAUCCCUCUGAACCCGAUUCGAGAACAGGAGCCGAAAUAGUGAUUCUACAAGGUGCGAUUAGCGAAAUGCACUUGGUCAGAUAUUGAAUCCUGCCAAAGCAAUCUAAGCCUCUCUGGCUGAUUAAAGGUUCAUGAACUAGUUUAAGCAAGUCAAGCAUUUUGAAGAACAAAAACACAAUUUUGACCAGUUCAAGUCUAGACCCGCCUGUUCAAAAAAAAAAAAAAAAAAGUCUAGACCCGCCACUCAUUUAUAUCUAGAAUGACGCGCCGCAGUCAAACACUCAAAAAGUGAACGCCACUAUUAAAGUUCACAUUUUCAAAUAUUUAGAUUUUCCGUUCAAAAAAAAAAAAGAUUUUUAUUCUCUUUCCGUGUUGCACGGUCCAAAUUGGCUGAAUUUGAAGCUCAUGCAAGUUGCAAAUUGCCCUCAUCCAUCACUAUAAAUAUACCAGCCCCACCUUAUCAAAACUACACUUUCAAGCCACCAUCAUUCCUUCCUUCAGAAAAGAUGACAACUCUCAAGCUCAGGAAGCUCCUCCUGACCGCCGUCGCGGUUGCUGGGAUCAUCAUUUCUGCCCUGCCCGACACCACCUCGGCCCAGAACUGCGGGUGCGCAGCCGACCAGUGCUGCAGCCGGUGGGGCUACUGCGGCACGGGGGAUGACUACUGUGGGACGGGAUGCCAGGAAGGCCCAUGCAACGCGCCGCCGCCGACGAACGACGUGGUCGUGGCGGAUGUGGUGACGGAGGCCUUCUUCGACGGGAUAAUCGGGCAGGCCGCCGAGAGCUGCGAAGGGAAGGGCUUCUACUCGCGAGGAACGUUCCUUGAGGCUGCCGGGAGUUACCCUCAGUUCGGCAGGGUCGGGAGUGUCGACGAUUCGAAGCGGGAGAUAGCUGCUUUUUUCGCUCAUGUCACUCAUGAAACUGGACGUAAGUUAUCCCUCUUAAUCACUUAAUGAAUCAAAUUACGAGCAGAACGUGAUCAGAAAAUUGCUGCUUGUGGAUGUGCAGAUUUUUGCUACAUAAACGAGAUAGAUGGAGCUUCAAAGGACUACUGUGAUGAGACAAACACCCAGUACCCGUGCAGCCCGAACAAGGGUUACUACGGCCGCGGCCCGAUCCAGCUCUCCUGGAACUUCAACUAUGGUCCGGCCGGAGAGAGCAUCGGGUUCGACGGGCUCAACUCCCCCGACACCGUGGCCACCGACCCGCUGAUCUCCUUCAAGACUGCUCUGUGGUACUGGAUGAACUUCGUCCGACCAGUCAUAGACCAAGGGUUCGGAGCCACCAUCAGAGCCAUCAACGGCGCACUCGAAUGCGACGGCGGGAACCCCGCCACCGUCCAGGCCCGGGUCCAGUACUACACCGAGUACUGCAGCCAACUUGGGGUCGCUCCCGGAGAUAAUCUCACUUGCUAGCCGGAGUAGACUGUACGUGAAAUCAAGUUGUGCAUGUGGAACGCCAAUUAGAAGUAGUUUUCGGGUGUAUUCAUUGUAUCAAUAAUGCGCACAACAAAUGAAAAAGGGAAAGAAGAUGAGGACUUCAUGGAGAAAAAUGGAAAUAAAGUAGCAAGUUCAAUAUUUUGUUCAAUUCACGAGACAUUAAUACAUCGUCUGCUUAUUUAGGUACUCUAUAUUUUGUUCGAUAAUGAUAUGGACACGACUAAGCUUAAGGGAAACACAAUUAAUUAAAUUGAAAUAAGGACAUGAAGUGGAGUUGUUUUAUGAAAAGAGGGCCAAGAGUGAAUCUUAUUUUAAAUAAGGGUGUCAAAUGAACAAGUUACUCUCGAGUCUCAAGUAAGAGCCCAAACUCAGCUAGAGGACUAUCGAUUACAUCUAAAUUUUAGCAUCCCUCUAAUGUCUUUCAUUUCGACCAAGGUGAGUUUCCUAAAUUGACGCAACUGAUCUUUCGCUCACCCAAGAGAGGGCGAUUGCAGCCUAUUGAAACUAACACACUGACAAGGUGUGGGCAUAUAAUCGUGGAAUACCAUGCCGAUGGUAGAGAUGACGGUGAUGGUAGGAGGAAAGUUUUUUCUAGCGUUGCUUGGGAUUGUUUGGUUGAAUUUGUAGAUGCAUUUUGUCUCAUUUUGUGUAAGUCGAUGCAUGUGAGUCGCAUUUUUUUUAAUGACAAGUGGUAUACACUGUGCAUUUUCUAAUUGGACUAUCGCCCUGAUCCUUGCUUUUAAGAUUUUCAUUUUCAUGCCAAUCGAUGAAAUCUUUCUUUAAUUUUAUUUUUUUUCCUUUUCUAAUUGGACCUCAUUUCUAGAUGGUCGCCUUCGCCGAAGUACUCUAGCCAUGAACUCUUGGACAUGCUGGGUUGGCGCUCCGGAGGAUCGCGACCGGAGGUUGGACUGUCUGUCCUAGGGCCUGAAUGUUGGGGACCGGUCACUUCGUUCAUCGACCGUCCUGAAUACAUAUGUUCCGCUGUUUAUCUAAAUCGAACCCCGACUACAUCGCUUUGGUGUUUGUAGCUUUACCGGUCACAGCGCCGGGCUCGCUCGGCGGAGCCGAGGAUGAUUGAUCCUUGUUGUCGCGGCCGUUUUGCACUGAGUGCUAACCUUUUGAUGGAUUACUUAGGAUUAAUCGGAGGCGGGUUUCCUAAAAUGGGCAUGAUCGUUAAAUGAAAUUUUCAUUCUUACGCAUGCCGACCGACGUGAACUAGCCGUGUGAAUUGAUGUAUGAAUGGCCCGCCAACACUUGGUCCAUGAUCUUGGUUUUGGUCCGACGAUGGAAAAACUAGAUUUGCAUUCCUCCAUAGGUUGAUAGUAAGUACUGAUAUUGAGUGUGUGUGAGAUUGGAAUCCUCCUCCGAUUCCGUUGUGCACAGCCUGAACCUCUCCUUAGUCAUUGUCGCUCUUUUGUCGACUCUCGAGACCCUCCUGCCUGUGCUCCCUUUAUUUUCAUACAGAGAGAGAGAGAGAUCGAGACCCCCCUGCCUGUGUUCCCUAAAUUUUGACGAUUUAGUUUAUUUAUUUAUUACAUAGGAAAUUAGGGGUUAAAUUUUAUUAAUUGCAUAGCAUAUAGAUUUAUAUUUGCAUUUUAUCUAUUGGACCGGUGGCGGAUGAAUUCGAAUUUAGAUGGAUCAGGCCCACGAAGCGAGCAGGUUGGCCCAAGCCCGCAUUUCUUUUAAUAAUUAAAAAUUAUCUCAUGGGAAUAUAAUAUUUUGAAAAUUUUCCGGGAUAUGAAUAUUUUGGAUAAGAGCACAUGUGUGAAAAAAUAUUGCGAUUUAUCUUUGCGAGAUUUGGAUUUCGAGAAAAUACUCAUCGUAAUCUUAAAUCUUUAUCAAUAGUGAUCGGUUGGUGAAAAUGUAUCGCGAAUGUAGAUUUGAAGGGGAAAUCGAAAGCUUAUCUCUUACCCCCUGUAAAAGCAACCGUGUACGAUGACUGGAUGAAGCUUCUUUUAAAAAAAUUCAGAAAAAGUGAAAGGGGAGAGAAGCCAUCCGUGGAGGAGAAAGGGAAAAAAAAGGAAAAGUCAGAACGUGAGAGAGAGAAAGGAAAAAAAAAGGAAAAGUCAGAACGUGAGAGAGAGAGAGAGGAGAAAAGGUAAAGUGAAAAGGGGGUGAUUUGACCCCUACUGUUCAUCGUCUCCCCCAACUUGCUGCCCACGUUGCUGCUCCAUCCGUGACGCUCGUUGCAGCUCCAUCCGCACUGCUCAGAGCUCCUUCGUCUCGCCACGCUGCAGGACGUGUGUGCGACCACCACCGCUCCUCGCCUUCCACGAAGCCCGACGCCCUCCUCCGCUUUUCGCCGGUAAUCGAUCCGCUCAACGUCGCCUGCUGUUACUCGGAGCCGACUCGUGUGCCCUGCUCUGAGUACUGCCCGUGCCCCAAAAUCGCGACGCCACUGGAGCCCCAAAUCAGUCGUACCGCCGAGCCGAUUUGCCCUCUGUUCGCGAUCUGCCUGCAACCCGCGCUGGUCCGAGAUCUACCGUCUUGCCCCGCCGCGCCUCCUUCGCCCGUGCCGCCCCUAUCUCGCCUGACCCGUGACCAGCUGUGCCUGCUGCCGCCCUUGCCGGAGUUCCCCUUCGCCGGACCGAUUGACCCGCUGCCCUUGGAGACCCACGGUUACAAGCAGGAAAAGAAAAACAAAAAAAGAAAAGGAAAGGGAAAUUAGGUUGUUUUAUUCUUUUUCUAUUUACUUUAUUUUAUUUAUUUCUUUUAAGUUUAGGAGUGAUAUUUAUUUCAUGGAUUUUGUAGGCAUUAUCCAUAGGGUCUUCCCUAAAAUUAUCGUAAUUAUUAAUUUGAUCCGUAAGAUGUCGGAUCAUUUUUUUUUAUUAUAUUAACUUUUGGGGUUUGUUGAUAGUGUUUUAAGUGCUGAAUCAAUGUAAUUAUUAAUUUGAUCCGUAAGAAUUCGGAUCAGAUUUUUAGUUAUUUUGAAUUUCUUGUUGUGAUAAUUAGGGUUAUAAUAAUCGUUAAUUUGACCUGUGAGACAACAGGUUAUCUUUUCGAUUAUUUUGAUCCUUUAUUUGAUUGAAUAUCUUGAUUGGUUAGAUUUAGUUGAUAAUUGUUUUUUUUUUAAAAAACCACUAAAAAAUCUAAAAAAUACUUGAAUUAGGAUUCAAUUUGUUUUAGAAUAUUUUUCGCUAUCUUGCAUAUCUAGAAUAGGGAUUUUAUUCCAAAUUUAUAAAAUAUAAAAAAAAAAAAAAAAAAAAAAAAACAAGAAGGCACAUUCAUUUAGGUUGUUAGUUUUAUCAUUAUUUGAAUUGCAUGUGAAAUUUUAAUUUCGAAAUUAAUAAAAAAAAAAACACAAAGAAUCAUCAUGCAUAUAUCAUGUUGAAUUAGGGCAUUCUUUACACGUCAUCGCAUAUUAAAUAAAUUGCAUGUUUAGAUUAAGAUAAUAUCUUAGUCUAAGUUAGGAUUUAAUGUGACUUGAUCCUUAGUUUAAAUUAGAUAGAAUUUUAAUCUAGCUAGAUCAUUUUUGCAUUUUUAAAUAGAAAUAUCAAAUGCAUGUCAUGUAGGUUCAUUUAAUUAGAACUUACUCGUAAUUAGACUAAAUCAUUUAAUAAAUGUCGCAUGACAUAUAACUCGCGUGCUAAAUUAUAUGCGGCAUGUCAUCUUAGUUUAAAUAAUUUUGUAUGUCAUUGCAUCGCAUUGCAUGUCAUUAGAAUUAGGUCAUUUAGAUGGCAUUUAAUUAUUGCAUUUCUUCAUGUCAUAUAGUUUAGGUCAUGCUGCCAUGUCAUCUUAGAUGCAUUGCAUAAGUCAUGAUUUUCAUUAAAUAAAAUGAAAACAAAAAUUGAAAUUGCGUGUUAAUUAGAAAUCAUAUAUAGGGCUGCUGAUGUGAAUUCUAAUUUAACGAUGCAGAUGCUUUCGUUGCUCCUAGGUAUGUUUUGCAAUAUUUAAUUGCUUUCUUGAGUGUUAAAUUGGUGGUAUGCGCACAUGUAUGAUCACCUCACAUGUUAGGAAGUUAGUUUAAAAUCAAUUCAAUUGCCAAACAUUUUUGAAAAUAAAAAGAAUGGUACCGAAAGGGCAUUAGAGAAAUCUAAUGUAAUCAAGUCCCCGUACCCUUAGUCUCUGGUUCGUAGGAGUAACGUAAUUCUCCCAUUAUUUUACUUAGGUGUCUAAUCGACCUACCAUAAACUGAUUAGUGACGACUCCUAAAUGAAAUCAAUUUGCAUGUUAAGAAUUCAAACCUAAGUCGCGAAUUGGUAUGGGCUUGGGAGAGCCCGAGUUAAGUUUAGGCUUAACAAUCCAUUAGCCAAACUCUAGGUGGUUCAUAACCCGAAAAAUUGGUCGCGACAGCUUGGCGACUCCGCUGGGGACUUGUAUUAAAACACUUAGUGGACUUAGGCCAAUUUUUCUUUUUAAAAAAUAUUUUUGUUUGGCAGCGAGGAUCUCAGGUAUGUCCCUAACAUUUCUAUCCCUAACAUUUCUAAGGUGUUAAAUGUUUUUGCAUAUGGGAGGUAUAAGGGGAGUAGUCUUUGCUAACCCCUGUCUUGCAGGUUGGAGUUAGGGAUGAAUGUUUGAAUUAAAACUAUAGAAGUGUUGUUUGCAUUUAAACUGUUGUGCAUGCUUUAUUGCUUUAGCACCACACUAUUUGCACACACAACCUGCGGUCGGACCUGGGCUGCGAUAAGAUUUCUAGGAUGGUGUUGAGAAGGAUACUUCCUCCAAAGCGAGACUGCUAUGUAGAGGUUGACCUUCUCUUCCCCGAAAUUUCUUUCAUGGUGUCAAAUGUGUUUGUCCAUAUCCGCGAGACUGCGUGAUUAUUGGGUAUUCCAUUCGACUGAGCCGGGGUUAGGAGGACCUGACACGUUAAUGCGAGACUGCAACGGUCAGACCAUCCUCUUAGCUCCACCUUGCUAAGCCUGUCUAGAGUAGAAAUCGAUCCUCACAUCUCAUGUGCAUGUCUAUGUGAUUGCCAUCGAUUUUCCUUGGUGAAGUAAAGCCUCACUUUGCAAUUUACUUACUUUAUUGCAGUUUUGUCCGUCCAUGACAAUUUAGGUUAAUCAUUGAUUUAAUUCCUUUGUCAAUUAGGAAUGAAAUGAGGAAAUAAAUUGUCAUACAAUGAAUCAUUUGGAAAAUAAAAAAUGGAAAUUUGUUUUCAAUUUAUGUUUUGGCUCUUCCUAGUUCAUAUUUAGGAAAUUUUAUCCCUACUGGAGCAUCCCAUGUCUUUGUCUUCCUAGUCUAUUUUUUUGAAAAUCCUUUUCAUGUGGACUUUUCUUAACUAAAAAAUAGAUUGUUGUCAUGGAUUGAUUUUCUCAGUAUACCUCGUUCUUACAUAUCUCCAUUUUCCUUAGGUGAUCAAGAACUAGAAUGGUUGACCAAACCGAAAUGCGUGAUCGUAUCUCCGCUAUGGAAGACCAACUCCGACAGUUGCUCGCCUCUAUGCAAUUCAUGACAGCUCAAAUCCAAUCACUCCGAACGGAUUUGACUCCUGCACCUGCUCUCCUUGAGACAGUAGUUCUGAAGCAGUCGGGCAAGACCCAAAUGAGCAAUGGCGACAUGGCUGACCUGGAAGAUGACCCACUGUUGGUCGCUGCCGAAAAAACUAAACUUGACAAUGUCCCUAAGAUGGGGCAAGAUGAAGUGGAAGUGAUGGACACUCUAGGGCAGCCUAGUGGUAAGUUUGAUUACCUGGUGAAGUAUUCGGCUCCUCCCAGCUUUUACUUUGACUCCCGCAACAUAAUUCCAAGUGGAUGGGAUGAUGGACGAUCUGACGUCUCCAAAGACAAAGAACUCUGAUGACACCUUGGAAGGAAUCACAGGUCUGUUCGAUGACCUCUUCACAGGAGCCAAUGACGAAGGACCUUCGGAAGACAUGGACGUUAGCUUGCAAGAGUAACUUGCUCGGUUGCAUCUUCCCCUGCGUGGGAAUUCUUAUUGCUUUUUAGGAAUUAGUUUUCCCUUUUUAGGAAUUGUUUUCGAUUUUUUCUCUUUUUAGGGGUUAGGAAUCACAAUUUCCAUUCCAAUAAUGUAAUUCAUUUGAUGAAAUUACAAUUUUAUUUCCAAAUUUGAGGACAUGAUGGGGUAUACCAAACCGGUCCAAUGACGAUAUCCAACCAUGAAAAAGAAAAAUAUCAUACAUGGAGAAAUCCUGAGGGCUGGACUUUUUCAUGUUUCCUCCCAAAAACCUUUUCGAAAACAAAAAAAAAAUUCCCAAAACUUGUAGCAGAUUAAACUUGUUUGUUUGUCUGACUCAUUUGCUUCUUGUCUCAGAACAUGAUUCUAUAACUUUAUGACAAGGGACAUCUGAGAAUGGCGUAUCAAGUCUCAAUGAUCAUAAACUUGACUUGUGAUCAACAGGUUUAGAGCGCACUUGUAAUGAAAAAGAUUUGGGGCAAGUAAAAGAUGACCAUCAUUCCCUGGUGGAGGAGAUGACCAAUUUGGGACAUAACAGAUUUUGGUAGUGAUCCGACUGGGAUAAAGUCUCAACUCGAGCCAAAAUGGAUGUGCAAUUUGAAUUUACUUUGAUGUUGCAUAGUAUUAUCCUGAUGCACAUUCUCUUGUGCAGGGUCAAAAGUGGAUUUUCAGUCUUGAAUGAUAGGAACAAUCUAAAGACAUCAACUGCUGAGGCAAUUCCCAUUGUAGAGGAAUCCUUGAAUGAAUGCUUAAAACCAUUUUGCAGUAUAGAAAACUGUUUGAAGUUGACAUGCUUAAAGCUGUUGAGUUCUUUUUAAAAAGGGUUUUGCAUGUUGACUCUUACAUGUUUUAUCCAUCAAUUCCACUAAAGAAUAUCAAGAUGGACUAAUUUAAUGAAUGAUGUGGAAUUGAUUAAGCAUACUAAAUGAGAUGAGUCGGGAUGAUGAAAGGCAAACCCUAUCCUAUACACAGUCCCAUGUUCAUACACUUGUGAGAUGAGUGUAGGAAGGUUCAUAUCCAUAAGGUAAAGAGUUCUCUCGCAAAAGGUACGGCAACCGAAAUGAUGAGAGGCAAUUCAUAUCUCUAUCCCAAACACUACAGGUGAUCCGUUGCUUAACCCUUUUUGAGCCCAUACACUUAUGGAUCUUCUUUUCAAAUCACCCCUGUCAAGAAUCACCCCACAUUGGGGCAACUAAGAGAUAAAAUUGCAUCAUGAGGUGAGUAAAAUGAAUUGAAAUUUUCUUGCUCUCACUUGCAUCAAUCUUCUUGUCUUGCUAUUACAUUGAAUUCAUGUGUUAAUUUAAGUGCCUUAGGAUGAUGAAGAGCAUUUCUUUCUCUAUCCCAUACACUUAUAUCCUUUGCAUAGCCCAUUUGAGCCUGCAAUUUUAUUUCUUUAAAUCCAGUUGGUGAUCAUCCCCCACACUGGGGCAAGGCAAAAGCCAAAUGAGGACCUUUGAAAGUUCAAGUGCCAUUCAAAGAGCAUUUCUUUCUCUAUCCCAUACACUUAUAUCCUUUGCAUAGCCCAUUUGAGCCUGCAAUUUUAUUUCUUUAAAUCCAGUUGGUGAUCAUCCCCCACACUGGGGCAAGGCAAAAGCCAAAUGAGAAAAAAAUGCAUGAGAGCUAUGGGCAUAAAAAGUGGUGUGCUUGGUAAAAGCAAAGUCAAUGCCCAUAGAUGAAAAAAAAGAGAGUCAAGAUAGGUGACUGUCAACUACAAGUAUCGAAUCCCAAUGGAGCAAUAGUCAAAGAACUCAAAUGCUGAGUUUUUGCAAUCAAUGGGACUUCAUAAAGGCAAUCCCCAAUGGUGAAAAAGAAAACUGGUGGCAAUGCCAAGAUGAUCAUCAACUCAAACCUUUUACACACAUUUUGAGCCUAAUGAUCCUUUCAUUUCUCAACCCAUGAACCCAACCUACGUUACGUCCCUUACAAAGUCUCUUCAGAUUAGGGCAUUUGAAUUAACGUAAGAGUUCAUAUGUUUAUAAGCAUCGCUCGAAGAAGUGCGAGCAAGAUUAUUUCUUUUUCAUUUUGCAGGGUUCUUGACUUGUAAACCCGGAGAUGAUUACAAGACAGUUCAUUCAAUAGCUUUGACUCAAAUAGUCAUUUUGUUAAGCCGUUGACCAAGCCACAUUAUGGUCCUUGUUAAAGACCUCUCAAAUUGGUAAAAUUGUACCGCUUGCGAGAAUACUCGGACCCAUGUCGAUAUGAUAAAAUUGAGUGAUUCUCAUAAAAUAGCUAUUCUAAAUGAGAGUGAGUGAAAGUCCUUUCUAACCGAAAGUCUCUCAUUUAGUAUUCUUAAGAAAUCCAUGUUAUGAGUGAAGAUUGUCUUAAAUGAUAAUUCUCUCCAGUGGAAAUUUGGGUGAUACAAAUGUCAUUAUGCAUAAACCUUGAUUGAGUUGAUAAAAACCUCACUGAAUUUUGAAAUGUGCAUUCUAGAGUAGCUUAGAUUGUCUAUCUCUUUGAUGAAUGCAUAUCAGUUUUUGCUCUAAUUCAUGUCUGACAAGUAAUUCAAGUUCCUUUCAGAAUGUUUCAUGAUAUUAGAAGAUGAGAAACCUCCACCAGGAGGUGAAAGACCUCCACAGGAUAUCCAAAUUCCAAAAAGACAUAUCCCCAAGAAUCAGAGAUAUCAUCAGGUAAGUAUAUCUUUACCAUACUCUAAAAUACUUGUCAUUGUGCAGGUAUUCUCUCUCAAGUACAUCGACACUUGACUUGGUCAAGUUGUCCAAUUAUAUCGACCUGGCGUGCUUUCGUAGCCCAGAGUCAUUUCCAUCGACUCGGCGUGCUUCCAUAGCCCGAUGUCGCCUUUAAUAGACCCGGCGUGCUUCUGUAACCCGGAGUUCUUGACCUGGUGUGCUUUUGUAGCCCAGAGUCCCUUUAAUAGACCCGGCGUGCUUUUGUAGCCCGGUGUCCUUCAUAUUGACCUGGCGUGCUUUCGUAGCCUAGAGUCAUUUUCAUUGACUCGGCAUGCUUCCGUAGCCCGAUGUCUCUUUCUUGACCUGGUGUGCUUUCGUAGCCCAGAGUUCCCCUCUUUAUUGACCCGGCGUGCUUUCGUAGCCCGGUGUCCUUUAUAUUGACCUGGCGUGCUUUCGUAGCCCAGAGUCCCUCUUUAUCGACUCGGCGUGCUUUUGUAGCCCGAUGUCCCUUUAUAUCGACCUAGCGUGCUGUCAUAACCCAGAGUCCCUUUUGAAAACACCGACACUCGACUGAGUUGUCCCCCAAAGAGUUCUCCCCAGAUUCAAUCUGAUUAAGGCGACCGAAGAAUGGUUCGGGUCCUGGUCGGAUGAUUUCUGUCACAAGGCUGGGCGACCGAAGAAUGGUUCGGGUCCUAGCCAAGCAAAACCCCGUUUAGGCGACCGUAGAAUGGUACGGGUCCUAGACAUCAUUUAUUGCUCUAAAAGGCGACCGUAGAAUGGUACGGGUCCUAGAAAAGCAAUUUCCCCGUUUAGGUGACCGUAGAAUGGUACGGGUCCUAGACAAAACAUAUUUCCCUAUUCAGGCGACCGUAGAAUGGUACGGGUCCUGGAAGGUAAAUCCCCGUUUAGGCGAUCGUAGAAUGGUACGGGUCCUAGACAUCAUUUAUUGCUCUAACAGGCGACCGUAGAAUGGUACGGGUCCUAGAAAAGCAAUUUCUCCGUUUAGGCGACCGUAGAAUGGUACGGGUCCUAGACAAAACCUAUUUCCCUAUUCAGGCGACUGUAGAAUGGUACGGGUCCUGGAAAAUGAAUCCCCGUUUAGGCGACCGUAGAAUGAUACGGGUCCUAGACAAAACCUUUCUGUUGUACUAGGCGACCGUAGAAUGGUACGGGUCCUGGGAAAGCAGAGUUCCUUACAAAAUAUUUCUGCCGUAUUGGGCGACCGUGGAAUGGUACGGGUCCUGAGAAAGCAGCUCAUUUUUGCCAUACUGGGCGACCGUAGAAUGAUACGGGUCCUGGGAAAGCAGCAUCUUCACAAAGUCAUGUUACUAUUCUAGGCGACCGUAGAAUGGUACGGGUCCUGGACAAGUAACACCCACUACCUCGAAUUAUUCUAUCCUCCUCGAAGGUAAGUUAUUUCAGGUAGGUACAUCUAUCAUUUGCAUUAGCAUUUCCAUGCAUCAUAUAAAUUGCAUUAAAAAAUGGAAUUCAUUUUCCGAAAAAAAAUCAUCCAUUGCAUACACAUAACCAAAAUUUAGGUCUCAAAUUAUCUUUGAAGGCAACCUCUUCGAGCUCACCUUCAAAGAGGGGCAGCUGUUGACACCUAAAUUUUGACGAUUUAGUUUAUUUAUUUAUUACAUAGGAAAUUAGGGGUUAAAUUUUAUUAAUUGCAUAGCAUAUAGAUUUAUAUUUGCAUUUUAUCUAUUGGACCAGUGGCGGAUGAAUUCGAAUUUAGAUGGAUCAGGCCCACGAAGCGAGCAGGUUGGCCCAAGCCCGCGUUUCUUUUAAUAAUUAAAAAUUAUCUCAUGGGAAUAUAAUAUUUUGAAAAUUUUUCGGGAUAUGAAUAUUUUGGAUAAGAGCACAUGUGUGAAAAAAUAUUGCGAUUUAUCUUUGCGAGAUUUGGAUUUCGAGAAAAUACUCAUCGUAAUCUUAAAUCUUUAUCAAUAGUGAUCGGUUGGUGAAAAUGUAUCGCGAAUGUAGAUUUGAAGGGGAAAUCGAAAGCUUAUCUCUUACCCCCUGUAAAAGCAACCGUGUACGAUGACUGGAUGAAGCUUCUUUUAAAAAAAUUCAGAAAAAGUGAAAGGGGAGAGAAGCCAUCCGUGGAGGAGAAAGGGAAAAAAAAGGAAAAGUCAGAACGUGAGAGAGAGAAAGGAAAAAAAAAGGAAAAGUCAGAACGUGAGAGAGAGAAAGGAAAAAAAAAAGGAAAAGUCAGAACGUGAGAGAGAGAAAGGAAAAAAUCCCCCAACUUGCUGCCCACGUUGCUGCUCCAUCCGUGACGCUCGUUGCAGCUCCAUCCGCACUGCUCAGAGCUCCUUCGUCUCGCCACGCUGCAGGACGUGUGUGCGACCACCACCGCUCCUCGCCUUCCACGAAGCCCGACGCCCUCCUCCGCUUUUCGCCGGUAAUCGAUCCGCUCAACGUCGCCUGCUGUUACUCGGAGCCGACUCGUGUGCCCUGCUCUGAGUACUGCCCGUGCCCCAAAAUCGCGACGCCACUGGAGCCCCAAAUCAGUCGUACCGCCGAGCCGAUUUGCCCUCUGUUCGCGAUCUGCCUGCAACCCGCGCUGGUCCGAGAUCUACCGUCUUGCCCCGCCGCGCCUCCUUCGCCCGUGCCGCCCCUAUCUCGCCUGACCCGUGACCAGCUGUGCCUGCUGCCGCCCUUGCCGGAGUUCCCCUUCGCCGGACCGAUUGACCCGCUGCCCUUGGAGACCCACGGUUACAAGCAGGAAAAGAAAAACAAAAAAAGAAAAGGAAAGGGAAAUUAGGUUGUUUUAUUCUUUUUCUAUUUACUUUAUUUUAUUUAUUUCUUUUAAGUUUAGGAGUGAUAUUUAUUUCAUGGAUUUUGUAGGCAUUAUCCAUAGGGUCUUCCCUAAAAUUAUCGUAAUUACUAAUUUGAUCCGUAAGAUGUCGGAUCAUUUUUUUAAUUAUAUUAACUUUUGGAGUUUGUUGAUAGUGUUUUAAGUGCUAAAUCAAUGUAAUUAUUAAUUUGAUCCGUAAGAAUUCGGAUCAGAUUUUUAGUUAUUUUGAAUUUCUUGUUGUGAUAAUUAGGGUUAUAAUAAUCGUUAAUUUGACCUGUGAGACAACAGGUUAUUUUUUCGAUUAUUUUGAUCCUUUAUUUGAUUGAAUAUCUUGAUUGGUUAGAUUUAGUUGAUAAUUGUUUUUUUUUAAAAAAACCACUAAAAAAUCUAAAAAAUACUUGAAUUAGGAUUCAAUUUGUUUUAGAAUAUUUUUUGCUAUCUUGCAUAUCUAGAAUAGGGAUUUUAUUCCAAAUUUAUAAAAUAUAAAAAAAAAAAAAAAAAAAAACAAGAAGGCACAUUCAUUUAGGUUGUUAGUUUUAUCAUUAUUUGAAUUGCAUGUGAAAUUUUAAUUUCGAAAUUAAUAAAAAAAAAACACAAAGAAUCAUCAUGCAUAUAUCAUGUUGAAUUAGGGCAUUCUUUACACGUCAUCGCAUAUUAAAUAAAUUGCAUGUUUAGAUUAAGAUAAUAUCUUAGUCUAAGUUAGGAUUUAAUGUGACUUGAUCCUUAGUUUAAAUUAGAUAGAAUUUUAAUCUAGCUAGAUCAUUUUUGCAUUUUUAAAUAGAAAUAUCAAAUGCAUGUCAUGUAGGUUCAUUUAAUUAGAACUUACUCGUAAUUAGACUAAAUCAUUUAAUAAAUGUCGCAUGACAUAUAACUCGCGUGCUAAAUUAUAUGCGGCAUGUCAUCUUAGUUUAAAUAAUUUUGUAUGUCAUUGCAUCGCAUUGCAUGUCAUUAGAAUUAGGUCAUUUAGAUGGCAUUUAAUUAUUGCAUUUCUUCAUGUCAUAUAGUUUAGGUCAUGCUGCCAUGUCAUCUUAGAUGCAUUGCAUAAGUCAUGAUUUUCAUUAAAUAAAAUGAAAACAAAAAUUGAAAUUGCGUGUUAAUUAGAAAUCAUAUCUAGGGCUGCUGAUGUGAAUUCUAAUUUAACGAUGCAGAUGCUUUCGUUGCUCCUAGGUAUGUUUUGCAAUAUUUAAUUGCUUUCUUGAGUGUUAAAUUGGUGGUAUGCGCACAUGUAUGAUCACCUCACAUGUUAGGAAGUUAGUUUAAAAUCAAUUCAAUUGCCAAACAUUUUUGAAAAUAAAAAGAAUGGUACCGAAAGGGCAUUAGAGAAAUCUAAUGUAAUCAAGUCCCCGUACCCUUAGUCUCUGGUUCGUAGGAGUAACGUAAUUCUCCCAUUAUUUUACUUAGGUGUCUAAUCGACCUACUAUAAACUGAUUAGUGGCGACUCCUAAAUGAAAUCAAUUUGCAUGUUAAGAAUUCAAACCUAAGUCGCGAAUUGGUAUGGGCUUGGGAGAGCCCGAGUUAAGUUUAGGCUUAACAAUCCAUUAGCCAAACUCUAGGUGGUUCAUAACCCAAAAAAUUGGUCGCGACACUGACCAUCUCGAUCGAUCAAGUUGGUGUGGUUCAGUUGAUGGGCAAAUUCAAGUGGCCCCUCAUUUGGUUCUCUUCUCAUCAUUUUUUAUCAAGUCUCAAUACCUUUCAUGUGGCCGGGAAGCAGGAAGCAGUGACACCGGGUGCGUCGCUUGGUAUUGAAGGGUGCAUCUGUUAAUCAUCCGGAGCUCAUAAAAUGGUGAACAUGGAAUGUAACAUAUGAUGAUUGGUCUCUAGUUUUGGGGGGAUUGUCAUGAAGUACUGGAGAAAAUUCUGUUGUAAUUACAUGAUAGCGAGGGCUUAUGCUUUGUUUGGGUUCUUGUUUCCUCUUUCCUUUUUUUUU
rnacentral:lncRNA from 1 species